rnacentral:rRNA from 1 species
GACGAAGGGGGCUAGCGUUGCUCGGAAUCACUGGGCGUAAAGGGUGCGUAGGUGGCGAGGUAAGUCGGAUGUGAAAGCUCGGAGCUCAACUCCGAAAUGGCAUUGGAAACUACCUUGCUCGAGGGUUGGAGGGGGGACUGGAAUGCUUGGUGUAGCAGUGAAAUGCGUAGAUAUCAAGCGGAACACCAGUGGCGAAGGCGAGUCCCUGGACAACUCCUGACACUGAGGCACGAAAGCUAGGGGAGCAAACAGG